AAAAUCAAACCGGUGCGCAUCCCUUUCCCUCCCAGGCGAACGCCGACUCGCACAGAUCGGCCGGCCAAACGACGAGUUCCCCAGCGGCAGGCCGACGCGGUGAAUUCCCCAUCGAUGGAUGCGGUGGUCUCGUUCGAGGCGCCACGACGGGCUACUCUGAGGCGGCGAGGCGACAUCCUUCGCGUUGGAUGCGUCAUGGCUAGCUCCUCCGAUGCGGGGAGGCAGUCAGCAUCUUCACG
rnacentral:lncRNA from 1 species